AGCAGUAGCAUCACAUAUGCUUGGGGAGACUGAGUAGAACAUCUCCUGUGACGUGCCUCACCCCAUCUUUCCACCCAAAAUUGAAGACAAUCUGAUAUGCUGAUGAUGGCUACACGUAGAGUGCCUGGAUUCAUCUGCAUUGAAACUCCUUGAGAAUUUUGAUAGGUUGAGCCAAAACAGAAUAAUGAAAUGAACCCUUCUAGGCAGGAAGGCAGAAACAGACAUAAAAGAUGAUUUCUCUGUGUUAUCUGGCCUUUAUGGAAAGAACCAUGAUGAGCUUCCAGAAAAUGCAUUAUUGAUGUGAUGUAAUAAGGCAGGGGUUUUAACAUCUUCAUCCUGGAAAAUUGGAGUCCUUCCCAUGGAAUGUGUGUGUUGAGCUUAGCAGAGACAGCCCUUUCCACUCUGGAGGUAAGACUGGGAAAAUUUGAGUCCAGAGCCCUCUGCUGCCUCUGGGCCCACUGCCUGUCCAAACACACCUGCAGGAGGAAAGAAGGACCCUGUUACAAACAAGAGAAGAAGAGGAGAUCAAAGCAGCUGCAUCAUCUCAUUAACCUUCACCCCCAGAGAAGAUGGCAAGGAAAACUUAGAAACAAACAAAAUCAAGCCACUCUUCCUGCCUUCAGUGGAGCUUCAAACCAGAGGAUGUUACCUGGAACACACUGGAGAGUCAUAACCUUGGAGUUCACAUUAAAGACGUCAGUCCCAGGAAACUCCUACUCACCCAGCUUGAAUUCACCAGGGGAAGGCUGAAUGAGGACACAGUGAGAAGAUGGGAAGGUGGUCUCACCACAACCCAAUCCAACAGCACCUUGAUCUUGGAUACACAGCCCCCAGAACUUCAGGACAAUAGAUGGAUUUCUGUUGUUUAAGCCACCCAGUCUGUAGUCAUUUGUGAUGACAGCCUUAGCCAACUCAUAUAAACCAUAGAGGCCUAAACAGGUCCACUCAACGACUGAGAGAAAUUGCAAUGCAGUAAAACUCCCCAUAAGCUUCUUCAGAGGAAGACAUUUCUGGGACACCUUUUGCCCCAAAGAUUAUUCCUCACUCACUGACCUCUGGGUUUCAAGGAGAAGCUCCCUUCCUGCUGAUUUUAAGCAUCCCAUAGUAUGACAAUCAUCGACAGGAAAGAUAUUGUCUAAU
rnacentral:lncRNA from 1 species